GAUGAACGCUGGCGGCGUGCCUAAUACAUGCAAGUCGAGCGAAGCGGGGACGGGUGAGUAACACGUGGCUAACCUCCUAUAAGACUGGGGAUAAUUCGGGAAAACGGAGAUAAACCGGAAAAUUAUAGAUGGAUCAGCGCUGUAUUAGCUAGUUGGUAAGGUAACGGCUUACAAAGGCAACGAUGCAUAGCAGACCUGAGAGGGGGAUCGGCCACACUGGACAUGAGACACGGUCCAGACUCCUACGGGAGGCAGCAGUAGGGAAUCUUCCGCAAUGGGCGAAAGCCUGACGGAGAAACGCCGCGUGAGUGAUGAAGGUCUUCGGAUCGUAAAACUCUGUUAUUAGGGAAGCGGUACCUAAUGAGAAAGCCACGGCUAACUACGUGCCAGCAGCCGCGGUAAUAC
rnacentral:rRNA from 1 species